UACGGAGGGUGCAAGCGUUGUCCGGAUUUAUUGGGUUUAAAGGGUGCGUAGGCGGCCCGUUAAGUCAGCGGUGAAAUCCCACGGCUCAACCGUGGAACUGCCGUUGAUACUGGCGGGCUUGAGGGAGAUAGGGGCGAGCGGAACUGUGAGUGGAGCGGUGAAAUGCGUUGAUAUUCACAGGAACUCCGGUGGCGAAGGCGGCUCGCUGGAUCUUUUCUGACGCUGAGGCGCGAAAGCUAGGGGAGCAAACGGG
rnacentral:rRNA from 1 species